CCCGUGUAGCUCGAUUUCAUUCGUGAAUUGUAAUUAGCCUCUUCGUAAGGUUCAUACCAAUUAAAUAUGACUUGAAAAAAGGUAUCUGUUAACAUGCUUUUGUAUGGGUUACGUUUUAAGUGGGUGAUUCAUAUAUGUAUGAUCCGUGUUUUGUUAAUUUUGAUGGUAUGUUUACGUGUUACUAUGUUUGGAUGUGAGCAUGUGAUGUCAUAAUAUGUUAAUUUGUUUAUCUCUAAAUCUGUUAUAUAACCAUGCAUAUGACUUCAUGGAAAAACUGCUGUAUUUUAAUAAGUUUUGAUAAAUCUGUUCUACAAAGUGUAGGCUCACAUGCCUUCUGUUUUCUGUUAUUGUAUGUCAGCAUGUCCUACAUACUUAUCAUUCUAAUUAUGUAUAUGUAUUCCAUGACACGGUGCAUGGGGUUUGGGUUUUAAUAUGUUGGAGGAAGUGUAUCCUGGCUAUAUUGCUGCAAAUUCUGGCGGUUAAACCGUAAUAUCUGUCUGGCAGCUCAGCUAUACCAUUAUGAGUGGCAUACCACCACGACCUAGUGUGAUUGGAUGGAUGGACUCUUGUAGUCCUAAUCGGUGUGAUUGGUUGGACAGAGUUGGUGUGUAGCGGAUAGGGAUAGGAUCUGUGUCUGCAUUUGUAUCUAAAUCUAAA
rnacentral:lncRNA from 1 species